GCUUAACUGUCUUGUAUACCCCAUGUAUACUUUGUGGCGUGUUGCCUUUUGAAUGAAUAUACUUUACUUAUCAAAAAAAAAAAAUUAUUGUCAAACGCAUCCUAAGGAUAAAGUUGGGCUGCUUACUGGAAACCAAAUCCUUCUGCUGCUAAGGCGUAUGCUUUCAAACUACCGGCUCUACUAACCUAUUACUUCCAACCAUAAAACUAAUACAAUGUUCUACCACUACAACUUGGUUGGAACACUUUGUUUGCCAAUAGUUUGCCCAUUCAAGGACUUCGCCAUACAAGAAAAUGGAGAGUAGUAACUUUUUAAAAUUAAAAGGAGAAAAACCCUAAUUACAAAAUAACCAUUGUAAAGCAAUUCAUCUUUCCCCCACAACGAUCUACUGCAACACUACUACAGAUACUACCACCACUCUUUAUUGUUAAUUCUAAAAGGAAAAUUGUUAGCACCGUGGUAGCUGUCCUGGGUUCCUUCAAUCAAGGUUUUGAAGGACUUCCCCAAUAUGGAUGUGCUUUGGUUGCUGCUGCACAGUUAUGAGGGGACAAUGAUUCUCCAUCGUUGUGUCAAAAUGAGGCUUUCGUUUAGAUCGUCUUAGAUUCUGAGAGGUUGAAAAACCCCCCAUCAUAGUCUCUGCAUCUUGUUUUGGCUUUCGAGGUCUUCCUCGUCGUAGAUUCUGAGAGGAUGAAAAAUCCCUAACCGUAAUCUCUGCGUCUCGUUUUAGCUUACGAGGUCUCCCUCGCCCUCGAUUCUGUGGUGGGUGCUGUUGAUAAGACUCAUGCUGCAAAGGCAACAAUGCUUCAUCUCUUGUAAUUGUAUCAGGUUGUGGUUCAGGAGGCCUUCCUUGGCCUCGAUGCUGGGACAAUGUAUGCUGAGGAGGACCUAUGGGCAGCAAUGCCCCUGCAUCUGUAUCCUCUUCUGGUAUAGAAGCUAUGCCUUGGUGUUGAGAUUGUGGCUGUUGCUCCUCAAAAUGAUGCUGAGUAUUGACUGGGGGCAAUGAAUCAAACGGGCUCUUCCUCCUAUUUUGUUGCUUUGGCAGCUCCUCUACAGAUUCCCCCUCAUCUUCCACCCUAGGGCUAGAGGAUUCAACAGGUAUGACCAUCAAAGUAGCACAAUUAUCAUCAUUGAGGCAUGAUGAUUGCAGUAACUCGGAUCUCACCUCAUUUUGUUGUCCUUGUGAUUGAUUUUUUCCUUCAUUCACUUGAUAAUCCUGUUCGUUUGCUCCAUCAAUGACAUAAUUUUCAUGUUUUUGUGCUUGACUCAAUUCUUUAAUCACCACUUUCUCUUGUUCUCCUAGUUGAUUUUUUUUUUCAACCACUGCUUCCUUAUCAUAAAUACCACGGCGUCCCCUACCCUGAUGACGCUUCCGCUUCUGCUGCUUUUCUUUCCGCUUAGGGUUAGGGUUUCCGGUUGGAAUCAUAUAAUGAUCAUCAGAUGUAACAACAAUGUCACCAUUCUGAGCAAGUUUACAAAGAUGGUGACUUAGAUAACUUGAAUGAGCCCAAGGCACUUCAUAAUUUGAUUUAAUGAACUCUGACAGAGAUUUCUCACUUGAACCCCUUUUUUCUUUCAAUGUCUUAAUCGCAUCCAAUAUCAUCUGCACAAAAACCAGACUUUCACCAUUUCACAAAUGGAAAUCAAAACUUAUCAAUGCGAUUACAUGUAGCUGUAUAACCCAAUAAAAUCAAUACAGACAAUGAACUGGUUUCCCAAAUUUUAUGACUUUGGAAUGAAAAGAACCCUUCUUUUCCUUCAAACAAUCAUGAUAAAUACACUCACACCACAAAAUUGCUCUUUUCCCGGGAAUUUUUAUUUGGCAAUUAGAUUAAAUCAAAUGGAGAACUUUGUUCUCGAUUCAAAAAACUUUAAACCCUCCUCAUUUUCAUAAAAUAAUAGCAGAAAAAGAAAAAAAGAAAAGUACCCAAGCGUAGGGAGGGUGAUCAGGGGUUCGGAUCACGGGGAAUAACUGGAGAAGACGCUUUUCGAUGCACUUCUUUGUUUCCUCAGACAAUGGCGUAGCUGAAUCCAAGGUCAUUGCCCCCAAUACUGCUUUUUUCAACUUGUCCAUGUUUCGUUUUUGUUUGUGAUUUUGGGAAGUGGUACGAGGGUUAGGGUUUUGGGGUUGAGAAUCCAUUUGGGUUCAGCGAAGCAACAGCGGGAAAUCAGGGAUAGAAAAUCGAAAUCAUGGAAAAAAAAUAUCUACCUAAAUUUCAGAGAGGAGUGAAGGAGGAAGAACACUACGGCAAGCAUAUUGUAAAAUAUUUUGAGAUAAUGAUCAACCACCUAAUAACGUGGAUUAGUAACAAAGUCAAACUUAGCUCGAAGUGGAAAACCAAAAUUAAAGGGCAAUUAUAUCUAAAUUAAAGCGAAAACAAAGAGCACGUACCCGCUGAAAAAAAUGUAUCUAAAUUAAUUAUCUCCUUCUUGUUAUUUCUGUCUACCCUUUCCAGAAAAUAGUGCUAAUCCGAAGAAUUGAUCACAAAAAUUGAAAUCCAAAUUCGAGAAAACAAAUGAAGAAAAAAUUAAGUUGGUUGAAUUAAAAUAUGUAACAAAAUUUUAAAUUGUUAAUAUAAAUUUUAUCCAGGUUUGGAUAUAUUUUUUUAAAUUUAGGCUGCAUUUGCCUGCAGCCUGCUGCUUCUACCCCUGUUUAUUGCUUUCUAUCCAGAUUUGGAUAUAUCACUUCUAUAAAAAUCUUGAGAUUUCUUGUGAAAAAUAAGAACCGCAAUCUUAAUAUACGAAUUUGAACUGAAGACAGAAGAAAAAAUUAAUAAAAAAAAAUGGACAAAGAAAUCAAUCAAUUAAUAAACUAAAAACUGAAUCAAUCAGAAAAUAAAUGGAAAAUGAUACAUUUAGACAACCGCGUCAGAAGAAAAGUUGGGUUGUAAUUCAUUAAAGGUCUAGAACUUCUCAGAAUAAUCACACGGAGAAACCGAACAGCAACAGGGGAAAAAGGGAGGUAAUAAAUCAUUGUUCGGUUGCCUCACACGGGGAACGUGAAGGUAUCCAAACACUUCCAUAGGGGAUUGAUCCAGACCAUGGUUUUGUCCAUCUUAUGGGAUAAAAGUUAAUCAAUAACAUAACAUAUAUACAAAGGUAGACAGACAUAACUGCAACAUAUCCCAACCUCACUAGAACUUCCCUUUCUUUCUUUCUUUUUUUUUUUUUUUUCUUUUUUUUUUUAACAUUUUCUGUUCAUUAGGUUGCAAUCAUCCUUCUAAGUGAUAUCAUGAAAACAUAAGUGAGUUUUUGCAUAAACAUUUUAUUACAAUUAUCCAACCAUCUAAAUACGAAGGUCUACCUGCCACAUCCAUUUUUACAGCCAACAAAGUUUGAGUCCCAAGUUAAACGAAUAGAGUGAGAGAUGAAGUUGCAGAGCUGCAAAACCUCCCACACCCACUGCAUUCACCAUUUUGCUGAUCUACAUUUGGCAGAGUUUGCAUUCCCACUGAAGUAAGGUCUGAAGGUUUUCAUCACUUCCUCAUAUGUCGGCCUCUUGUAGUCCACUGCCUGUUGCCAAUCAUUUCCCAUGCUUACUAAGCCCUUAAUACAUACAAAAUAACCCCAAAUUUAAGAAUAUUCGUGAUUGAAGUUUUUGCAGCAUACCUGCUCAAUAACUUCUUCAGGGUUUGACCAUUUCCACUCUGAGAAUUCUGGUUCUGCUUCACCACUUGCUAAGUUGACUUCACUGUCGUCUUUUGUUAAUCUCAUAAGGAACCUGUCAAUUUUCCAAACUUUUAGACUAAAGAUUCUCUUUUCAUUUUUUUUCUCAUUCAUUUUCAAAGCCUCAUAUAAUAGUAAGAAAAAAGAAAAAAUCCCACAAAUAUCUUGAUAGCACAAAGUUUGAAGACAUGUGUACAAUAAAAAAGAACAAGUGCAUUCUGUUUUCAGAUACAGUAAAAGGUUCUCAUUUCUGAAGCCAAAUAUAGUGUUAGAUAUCAGCAGGGAUGUUCCCCUCUUUUCAGUAUUUGUUAGAAUAUCAAAACCUUUCAUUUAGGCUUCAUAACCUGCAAUUCAUAACACAAGGAAGAAUAUCCUAACCGAUCACAGGAUACAAUAUCUAGUUGAUGAGCACAAGCUUUUGAAAUUGUAAAUUAAAACAUUAGUAUCUACUUCCACUUUGGAGAAAAUGAAAGUUCAUUCCAAUCUCCCAAAUUAUGCCUAAAACUUCACUAACAUGCUAGAAUCCUGUUUGAUCUAUCAGAAAGAAUACUAUAAAUUCUGUUUAAAUAGGUAAAUGUUACCUAGACUUAAAAAUCAUUAUCUCACCUUAAUUUCCAUCUAAAUCUUCAGUUUUUUUUGCUACAUGUGAAUUUAUGGAUAUGAUUGGCCUCACAUUGAUUCCAUGAGGGCUUGUUGACAAUGCUUUUCUUGUCAUCAAAUGACCAAGACCAAUUUCACAAAUAUGGAAUCCUUAAAUUAGGGUUAAAUGAUUCUCUGAGCUCCACAUGUGGAGAGAUAAUCAAGUGAAUGAAUCAUGAAUAAACCAGGUAAUUGAGGUUGAACCUUUACUGCUAUCAAUUUGAAAAAGUGCCAGAAAAGUUGCCUGAAAACUCAACUUCCAAAGGUUUUCUGAACAUACAACCAGCUACCCUAAGAGGGAUAAUUAUAUUUUUCUCUUUGUUGUCACAUGCGCAUCCAAUAUACCACAGAUAUCCAUUUUUCAUAACAAUCAGAACCAAGUUGAAUCCCUACAUGAUAUGAUCUAGACACAUGUUGAAACUAUAUAUUAAAGUAAGAUUCAAACAAAAAAUCAGGCAUAUUCAAUGGCUGCCAUUAUUAUUGUUAUUUUAUAAACAUUGCAAUUCCAAUGAAAACUGAGAAUGAUAUAGCAUGUACCACUUCUGCGCCUGACCAUGCCAUUCACCUCGCCACAGGCGAUUGACUUUGGCCUUCACAGCAGGAGGGAAGUCAUACGUCAACCAAUUUGGGACCUGUCAAAGACACCCUUAAUUAUAGAAAAAAAAAAGGUCUUAAUUGUAUACUAGUUCACUAGAUUAACAGGAAGGCAACUUUGAAGAGCAUAUCAUAAAGAAUGAUGUAUAAUGCAUUCAAUUGAUUAUGCUAUACCAUGAUCAUGUUAUAUAUAUUUAAUAUCUUCAUCAGGAUGACUCUAAAAGGAUAAAACAUAAGCUCAAAAAGUAACUAAAAGGGAAACUAUUAUGUAAUAGAAUUGAGAGUUCAAGGAACUGCUAAGCAUUCAAGUAGUGAAGUCAAGUUAAAUAUCCCGACUCUAACCAUCAAAAAGAUUCUAAAAAUUUUAAAACUAGGGACAAAGAAUUGUUCAAAUCAAUAUGUGAUGUAGCAACUAAUUAGCUGUAUUUCUCAAAUGAGCCUCAGCUCUCUCACAAGAGAAGGAAUAGAUUAAUUGCCCUUGGGGCCUGGCUCAAGUGGCACGGGGUGGGGAUGGGGAUGGGGAUGUGGAUGUGGAUGUGGAAUAUCCCAGAUUCAAUGCCUAGGAACAAAAAAAUUACCUGUGAAAAACAAAAAGAGAGAAGAAUGGAUGAAUUAGAAGAUCUGGGUGUUUCUUUACAGGGUAAAAGGAUGGUGGAGGGUGGGGUGGGGGUUGUCAUCACUAAAACAUGAAUAUCUCGGUGUGCCACACACCAAUAUUGAACUACAAGAACAGCCAACUAGAGAAUUACAUAAUUUUCCUCUCCUGAUAAUUACAGGAGAACUUUAUGUCAGCAUUAAGCAUAGCAUACCCUUGUGUGUGAUGCAACAGAAAACUGGAGCAUGUAAAAGUUUCUUCUUUUACCAACCUCAGCAAUAAUUUCGGCAGACACUAUUCCAGUUUCUUCUCUCAAUUCCCUCAUGGCCGCAGACUUGGGUUCUUCACCAUCUUCAAUACCCCCCUAAAAUUGAGAAUCCCAAAAGUGGCAAUUAAGCUUGUUGAGAGAUGUCGCCAACAUAUUGGUGAUAAAAAAAAUGAGAAUAUUACAAGUAAAGCCAAGCUAAUAUGUAUGUGUGUGUGUGUGUGUGUGUAUGUAUAGAAGCAUCUUAAAACAAUGUAACAAUGUAUAAGAGGGCUAUUUUUUUAGUGAUCAGCACCAAAACAGGGCAAGUGCCUACUAUAUAUCUAAAAAGAAUAUAAAGCAAAAUUCAAUAGAUGAUUUGUCUCCACAGUAUCUGUCCAUAAGUAUGAAAGUUCCCAUCAGGUCACAAAGACAAUAAUAUAUUCUUGAGUUAUAAGAUCUAAUGGUUUUCUAUAUUUAAACAGAGCAUCUAUCAAGGUAUAACCUGAGGCAUCUGCCAUGCACCUGGAACAUUCAAUCUGGAAGCCACAAAAACCUGCAAAAAAGAAAAAAAAGAGAAGGUAAAUGUAUGCUUAUUUGAAGUGUAAAAUACUAACCAUGAAAAUUGCUCUCUAUUUCCAAUAUACUCCACCUAAGUGAUGGAUAUAAUCACAAUAUAGUGACUUCUUUUCAAGACAAAAGUUGCACAUGUUGAGGAAUUCUUUCAAACAGCACAAUUUAGAACAUCAACUAAAAUGCUGUUUCAUGCAUUUGAUUGAGUUCAGCCACAAAGCAUGACAAGCUAAAAAUCGGUAUGAUUAUAGUUCCAAUUUUCAAUUUUCAGCUUGAUUUUGACCCAACAGUUCAAAGAUGAGUAACCAUGAAAUGCUGUAGCCAAUCAAAUUGCCAUCCAGAUUACAGAGAUCCAGAUGUGGUAAACUGGCAUAACAAAAUGUUAACUUCAUGCAUCACUUGCUAAACAUUUUGAAAGUACUUUUCUUGCAUUAAAGAUAAUUUUUUUCUCUUGUUUAGGCUCUAACAACAAAAAUGGUACCUCGAAAAUACUAGUCAAACAUUAACUUAGGAUUCCAAAAUCCUCGGUUGAUUGUACAGUAUCUUUAUCUUUUGUAAGACAACUAAAAAAAUAGUAACAAGAAAUGCAAGCCUGAUAGAAUGGAAAAUGGCAAUUUUAUGAUAAUGACCAAUUAUUCAACUUACAUCACCUAAAACAAGCAGGCUUGCAGUUCAACUAGCUUAUCACAUUCUAUCAAGUAAUUUAAAUAUGCCUAUCCCUGUUAUUCCACAUUCCAAAUUAAAUACCAUACAAUUCUGUUUCAGUACCUCAGAGCCAAUGUUUAAGGUAACACUGGUCCAGAUUCCAAGAUUUUCAUCAGCUGGAGUUAAGAAAACAGAAAUUUCUUGAAUCCAAAGAUUCAGCUCUAAUUUUUCCAACUUUUACAAAUCAUAUGGCUAAAAUCUUAAGUUUUCAACAAUAAAAUAAAAAUUAUACAAAGCAAACAAUUUUUCCCAAAAAAGUUGCCAAAUCUGCCUGAAGCAGUCAAAAUCUAGUUAUACUUCUACUUGCAUCCCUAUAUAUCAAGCCAUAACCUCCUAAAUUUUUUUAGCAAAUGUUAUGCUCGUUGCUUCCUCUGUUCAAUUCUUUUUCUUUGAGUGCUUUGAACGCUUAAUCAGGGAGCCAACUAACUAAUUCAUCUUCCUUUUACAGGUAGACAGAGAAAACUAGCAUAAGAACAGGAGCAAAGGUAUUUAACCGUAAAAUCUAAUGCAGACAAAUGACUAAACCUCUGUUUG
rnacentral:lncRNA from 1 species